rnacentral:lncRNA from 10 species
UGAAUGCAAAACUGUUGGCAUAUCAUGUUUGAAGCCCAGAAGAGAAAGUGUAGAUGGGUCUUCCUGAUGAAAUGACUACUCACCCUUGUAGAAGCUCGGAAAUGGAGUCUUCAAUAACAGUAACUAAAGCAAAGGAAGGGCCAAGUAUACAGGAAAGGAGACAACUUUUUAUUUUUUAGAAACAAGAAACUCCAACAAUAGUUAUAUCCACUAAAUGACAUGUGCUUUCACUGAGUUAGGAAACAUCUGUUUCUGGUUUGGGUUUUGUUUUAAUUAUAGACAAUAAUCAGUUUCUAUUUCUAUGCCAUGAGCGGUGGUGCUGUCCCUAGAAACUCAGCCAUUGACCUACCUGCACUUUGCUUCAGCAGAUUCUAUUUAUUUUAUGUCUAUUUAUGUAGUACCAUCCAUCUACAGUAAGGGUGAAAUCAAAGAUAUGUACUUCUAAUACAAAUAUAGAAUUUAGGAAAGUCUAUUUUUUAUGUCUUGAUAGUUCCAUUUAUUGUCUUAGCCUGCCAUUUACUUCCUUAUGAGUCCUGAAAAGCGGACAUUUGUAGAUAAUAAGUUUUUCCUUUUUCAUUUACUUUCCUUCCCUUCUUUCUCUUUUUCUUCGUUUUUCACUAAUAAAUAUUUAAAGCUAAAAUAACUCUAACCCCUAGUUUUCAUGAUGUGCAAAUAAAACAUUGUGUACUUCUCUCUUUUGCUCUUAUCUACCAGAUGAAAACUGUUCGUUCUGUAUGAUUUUAUUCUUUCUAAUAUACCUAAACAGUCCCACAAUUAGCUCACAAAUAUAUUCUCUUGCUUUUGAUUGAGUAUUUUCCCCAAAGUUCAUGUGUUGGAAACUUGAUCCUCAAUGCACAAUGUUGAGAAGUCAGACCUUCAUGAGAUGAUUAGAUCAUGAGGACUCUGCCCUCAUGGGUAGAUAAAUGCUGUUAUCUCUGGGGUGGUUUAAUGAUCGGAGUAGGUUUGUUGUAGAAGUGAGUUCAGCCCUUUUGUUCUUUUUUGCUCUUCUGCCUUUUGCCACAAGAUGACACAAUAAGAAGUCCCUCUCAAGAUGGGCUCCUUGAUCUUGGACCUUCCAGCCUCCAGAAAAAACAAAAAGAAAAUGGAUUCAGAUGAGGAAGAAAGCCAAUGUCAUAUAAAUCUACAAGACCAAAACUGAAGGU